UCCAUACUCAUUUUUAAAAUCUGUAAAUAAUUAUACUUAUGCUUUUAUAAGAUCUGCUUAACAUAGAUAGUUCAUAUAUACACGAUUUAGAUUUUAUGAUCAUCACUGUAUAAAUAAUUAAAAUAGUAGCAAAGAUCAUUUAUCUAAAAAAUCAUCUUCAUCGGAUGUCGUUUGAUCUUUUGAUGACUUAUUUUUUAUUUAACGAUUGAAAUCAUUCCGUGCUAAAUUGAUCAUGAUAAUGAUAUCCGAUUUAAGUAA
rnacentral:lncRNA from 1 species